AUUGAACGCUGGCGGCAUGCUUUACACAUGCAAGUCGAACGGUAACAGGCCGCAAGGUGCUGACGAGUGGCGAACGGGUGAGUAAUGCAUCGGAACGUGCCCAGUCGUGGGGGAUAACGCAGCGAAAGCUGCGCUAAUACCGCAUACGAUCUAUGGAUGAAAGCGGGGGACCGUAAGGCCUCGCGCGAUUGGAGCGGCCGAUGCCAGAUUAGGUAGUUGGUGGGGUAAAGGCUCACCAAGCCAACGAUCUGUAGCUGGUCUGAGAGGACGACCAGCCACACUGGGACUGAGACACGGCCCAGACUCCUACGGGAGGCAGCAGUGGGGAAUUUUGGACAAUGGGCGCAAGCCUGAUCCAGCAAUGCCGCGUGCAGGAAGAAGGCCUUCGGGUUGUAAACUGCUUUUGUACGGAACGAAACGGUCCUGGUUAAUACCUGGGGCUAAUGACGGUACCGUAAGAAUAAGCACCGGCUAACUACGUGCCAGCCGCCGCUGUAAUAC
rnacentral:rRNA from 1 species